UUUUCUGGAGAGUUUGAUCCUGGCUCAGGAUGAACGCUGGCAGCGUGCCUAACACAUGCAAGUCGAGCGCGGGCCUUGCCGUUUGGUGGGGUUCCGAGCGGCGGACGGGUGAGUAAUGC
rnacentral:rRNA from 1 species